rnacentral:rRNA from 1 species
AGUCACUGACAUUAGACUACCCCCGUAGUCCCAGCCGUAAACUAUGCGCGUUAGGUGUAUCGGUGACCACGAGUUACCGAGGUGCCGAAGGGAAACCGUGAAACGUGCCGCCUGGGAAGUACGGUCGCAAGGCUGAACUUAAAGGAAUUGGCGGGGGAGCACCACAACGGGUGGAGCCUGCGGUUUAAUUGGACUCAACGCCGGAAAUCUCACCGGAUAGGACAGACAUAUGAUAGUCGGGCUGAAGACUCUACUUGAUGAUCUG